rnacentral:rRNA from 1 species
AUGUACAGGGCGUACUCGCAUCUCAGGUCGAAGAACUGGGUGGUGCGGUCAGGUUUGCAGUAUGGUACGGAUUUCGUCGCUUACCGUCAUCACCCCGCGCUCGUCCACUCGGAGUUUGCUGUGGUUGUGGUUCCGGAAGGAUCGGGGUUCGGCGGUAGGUGUGGCCGCCUGAAGGUGUGGUCUGAUCUACUGUGCGCGCUCCGAGCUUCUGGCAGUGUGGCCAAGACGCUGCUGGUUCUGACAAUCUCCAGCAAUGUCUGUGAACUGAGAUCCCCAGAUUGUUUGGAACGGUUGGUUGUUCAUGAAAGAACUAUUACAAGGUGGAUAGCCCAGCAGUGCCGUGAGCAGCGAUGUAAACCGUGCAGAGAAGAAGCAUAUACGGAAGAACAAGAUCACGCAGGAGAAACUGUAGUGUUCAACUAUUGGGGUCUAGUACUAGGUUUCACAGUUCUUUCUAGCCUGCUUGUAUACAAGCUGAGAUUCCGACAAUCAAGCUAA